CCCUUAGAUGUUCUGGGCCGCACGCGUGCUACACUGAACGGUUCAAUGGGUAAGGUAGUGCGAAAGCAUGACCUAAUCUCGAAAUCCGUUCGUGCUGGGGAUAGAAGCUUGCAAUUAUCCUUCUUGAACGAGGAAUACCUUGUAAGCGUGAGUCAUCAUCUCACGCUGAAUACGUCCCUGCCCUUUGUACACACCGCCCGUCGCUCCUACCGAUUGAGUGUUCCGGUGAGGCUUUGGGAGAAUGGCCUCAACAUGAGUUUAUCGUGUUUUGCCGUUGGAACUUAGUCAAACCUUAUCACUUAGAGGAAGGAGAAGUCGUAACA
rnacentral:rRNA from 1 species